rnacentral:lncRNA from 1 species
GGAUCCCCUGCUAUAUGACCCUACUUGCCCAAUACUCCACUUCAUCAAGGUGAAGUGACCCACCAAGAGAGACUUUCAGGGUCUGGGCAUUACCAGAUAAAAGAUGCCUAUUUUAUUCUGGCUGAAAGCAUGAACAGAAUAAACAAUGAGCUCUGUGAAGAAUGUUCUAUGAACCCGAAUCAAACUCAAACUCCUGUGUCACUCCGGUACGCCUGAUCACUGGAUAUAACCACGUAUUGGUCCAAACUAGCUCCAGAUCCAGGAGUCCCACCCAUUAGAGGCUGCCUAGAUUGACAAAGGGAGGGCACAGCCUUCAGUGACACAGUACAUGGUUCUCCCACCAGUUGAAGUGACAUACCCUAUCAGUUUUCCCUUCGGUCUGAAUGCUGGUGUGACUGCGGACCUCGUGUUCCUCUUCAAGGCUGUGUAAGAGGCAUGGCUGGGGAGGCCUCAGGAACCUUACAAUCAUGGUGGAAGGUAAAGGGGAAGCAAGCACAUCUUCACAUGGAGCAGGAGAGACAGAGCCAAGGGGGAAGCGCUGCACACUUUUAAACAACCAGAUCUGGAACCUCCCUCUCUGUUACUACUCCCUUUGGAUUUAUCCAGUAGUCUUAGACGUCACCAGGGCCAAGCCAUGCAUAUAUAGAUUGAAAUGUUGUUUUCAAAACCUACUCAAGCUAUCUCUUGAUGAACAAGAUUAGUACCAUCUGAUUACAACCCUGAAGAGUCUAGAUUCCUUAUUCUGCAAAAUGGAUUUAUUGUAUCUCAAGGCACUGUGAAGUUUGCAGUAGCAUGUAUAGGCAAAAAGGAAAGUCCAAAGAGAGGAAAAGAAAGCAGGAGAGAUCUGAAAUGACACAAGAAGUGACUCAGAAUGGGAAGAUUGUGCACUCCUUGUUGUCCCCUAAUGCACAUGGAAGUAUGCAACAGAAGCUGUGAAAAUAACCCAGGUGCGAAGGCCAAUGGUUUUCAUACAUUUCAAGCUUCUCUCCGUGAUGUCCUUUUCCAUGUAAAAUCUAAAUCAGGUGUCCUAUAUACAUAACAUGAAAUGGAGAUGUAAUGCAACUGAAGCUAGGAAACAAAAAUCUUGCCUACUAGCCUUCUCUCAAACCAGUGAUCAGAACCCUGAGUUAUUUCUUUGAGAGACUAAGUACAACACAGAAGCUCAAGCAUAGAAAUUAAGAGUUAAAAUUAUGUCAAGUUUCUUCACUGAAAAAGAUCCCUAUUAGCCUUUGACCUAAUUUUGUUAAUUUAUAAUGGAAGUUAACAAUCACUAAAUGUUAUUGCUUAUAAAUCUCUUUACCUAAUUUAAAACACUGCUAGUUGUAGCUAGAAAUAGGUAUUUCUUUAUUUCUUUUAGCUAUGUAUUCCUUCAAAAGAAGCUCCAGACUUUUAAAAUUGCACCACCUCAGUAUUUCCUCAGUUUCUUUUUUUAAUACAACAUACAUACACACACACACACACUAUCUUAUAUAUACUAGCUUAAUAAAUCACAUGGUAUUUUAGAACAGAUCAAAACUUGGAAUAAUCAUGUGGGAAAAAAGUUGUAGCCAGGUGCAGUGGUUCAUGCCUGUAAUCUCAGCACUUUGGGAUGCCAAGGCAAGUGAAUUGCUUGAGGUGAAGAGUUCAAGAGCAGCCUGGGCAACAUGGUGAAACCCCUCUCUACAAAAAAUUAGCAAGGCAUGGUGGCACAUGCCUGUGGUCCCAACUACUUGUGAGGCUGAGUUGGAUAGAUCGCUUGAGCCCUGGAAAAAGAGGUUGCA